ensembl:lncRNA
GACAGUAACUGCUGAUUGUAAUUAAUAUUAUUAUUUCCCUGAGUGUUCCAGGACUAGUGGUUGAAUUUUCUUGUUGUGGAGACAUAGAACAUAGAAUUUUAAAGCAGCAAGAUUUUAUUAGCCACUGAUCCCUUUGUUCAAAUGAAAUCUUAAGCUCAAAAUGUAAAGUAUAUAAAUCUCUAGGUGUGUGAGGAUCUCAGUUUGAAAAAUACUGAUAAAAGCACACAGACAUGAUGCCAGCCUGGUUGAAGGAAGACACACCCAUAACCCAAGCUGCAUCAUAUUCCUGCGGUACAGAAGAAACAGUCCCUGCUCAAAUGGACUCCUGGGCAAAAGUCCAGAACACUCCAUGUGAGCACCGGUCAGCAGACACAAUCUUGGAGGAUUAGCACCCCCACAAACUUAAUAGAACAGCUAUGGAAUAAGAAUGUUUAAAAUGUUGGGGCGGGGGGUUGGUGAAGAAAGCAUAAAACCAUUAGAAAAGAUGAUACUAUGAAAAAAGCAAAGUAGAAUUGAAAAGCUAAGUCUUUUGGAGCUAAAAAAUGUAUAAUUAAAAACUCAGUGGGCAGAUUAAACCACAGAUUGGGCAUGUCUGAAGAGAGAAUUGGUGAACUAGAAGAUAAAUCAGGAAAAUACCCAGAUUAUAACAGAGGAAGAGGUGGGAAAUAGGAAAGGGCAAAGAGACAUGGGAAACAGAACAGGAAGAUCCAACGUAAAGAAUAGGAGAGGUAAGAGAUUUGAAGGUUUUUCCAGAAUUUAUAAAGGAUAUGGAUCCUCAAAUUGAAGAAGCAUAACAUGUCUAGGAGAGUGAAUAAAAACAAGUCUGCUUAUACGCAUGUAGUAGAAUCGCAAAAAAUGAAAAAACCUAAAAGCAACCAAGGAGAGAAAACAUUACCUACAGAGAUGUAAUUACACUGACAGUAGGCUUUUCAAUGGCAGCAGUGUAGGCCAGAGGAUAAUAAAAUAGCUUCAAAGUGCUGAGAAAAAAAUUGAUGUUAGCUUUGAACUCUAUAAUAGGUAAAUGAGUAUUCAAAAGAGAGAAAUGAAGAAAACGUUUUCCGAUUUUGCUGAAAGAACUCAUGGGAUUGGUCUUUAGGAACGAAAGCAGUUCAAUCUAGAAGGAAGGAGUGAUGCAAGAGCUGGUGAACAAAGAAAUUGGUAAACAUGUUGGUAAACAGACUGAAAUCAUACAUAAAAAGAGACUGAGUACCUUAUUAACUGAUGGGGACUGAUAUCUUCAAGACAUAAUAAGUGAAAAAAGCAGGAGGUUGACCAGUAUGUAUGAUUUGCUACUGUUUGUAUAAAAUAGGGAAAAGUACAAUAUACAUUUGCUGCUUUAGGCAUAAAAUACCUCGAGGAUACAUGGAAACUAUUGGGAGGACAUGUGGGUGCUGGGCAACAGAGGUUUUAAAGGGACUUUUCACUGUAUACUCCUUAAUUCAUUUUGAGUUUUGUACCAGAAAUAUUUUAUCUAUUUAAAACACUAUAAAAUAAGCAUUAUGUAUAAAAAAUACUGUAGAUUUGAGAUUUAAAAAGCAAGGUGGAAUUUAAAGGCCUACUUGACAAUAAUACAGAAAAUAGGAGAAUCUUUAAGAUAACUGAUGAAUUUUAGAGUUUGUCAAGUAUGCAUAUUAAGCUUUUAAAGAUAGUUGCUAAAAGAGUAGAAACAACUGUAAAGGUGAAAAAAAGGUAAGAAAAAUGAACCUCCGAUAGAAAUGGGAAUAACAGGUGACUCAUGCACUUCUUUUCCCCAAAAAAUAUAAAAGAAUCUAGAGUGAAUAGGAAAUAUCUGUAAAGGGCUGAGAAUAGGCUAGACACUCCUGGGGAAGAAGACAGUAAGUCAGGAGGAGCAGAGAUUGAGAACAGCAUUAGUGCUGUAGUAACUCAGCGCAAUAUGCAGGGAUAGGCUCUUUGAACAACUGGACAGACUAUGUAUGGAAUUUUUGUGUACAUCAGAGGUAACGUUACAGAUGGCGUGAAAAGGAGGAACUGUUGAAUAAAUUGUUAUGGAACAACGGUUAUCCAUAUGGAAAAAAAGAUCUAUAUAUGGAUGCAUACACAAAAAUAAAUUUCACAUAUGAAAAGUGAAAUAUUUUAAAUGUUUAGAAGAAAAUAAUGAUUUUCUGAUUUGGGGAUAAGGAAGAACUUUUAACUGAGCUUCAAAGAAUGCUAACCCUAAAAGAAAAAAUUGGUAAAUUUGACUAUAUUAAAAUUAAGAACUUCAGUUCAUCCAAACUCCUAUAAAGAAAGAAGCAUGUCACAAAGUGAGAGAACAUAUUUGCAACACAUGUAAAGGGCAAAGGAUUCAUAUCCAGGAUAUAUUAAAAGCUGCAGUAAGGAAGGGCCAGCCCCAGUGGCCUAGUGGUUAUGUUUUGGCGUGCUCCGCUUCGGUGGCCUGGGUUUGGUUCCCAGGCAUGGACCUGCACCAUUCAUCUGUCAGUGGCCAUGCUGUGGUGGCAGCUCACAAACAAAAAGAGGAAGAUUGGCAACAAGCAAGUACAAUAAAGAAAACACAAAAAGAAUGAGUAAAAGAUAGGCAUUUCUCAAAAUGGGAAACCCCAGUGACCACUAAGCAUUCCAAAAAAUGCUCAGCCUCAUUUACAAUCGGGGAAAUUCACAUCAGGUGCCAUACAAUACUAUUUUACGUCUGCUGGAAUUGACAAAAGUGAAAAACUUGCCAAUGCAAGUAGUAAAGAAUGUGGACCUCACACAGAUUGCUGUGGGUCCAAGUGCUUUGGAAAACAAUUUGGCAUUUCCGGUAAAAUGAGAAAUUCUACUUCUGAGUGUUUAAAGAGGAAACCCCGACUCAGGGGUUCCCGGAGACGAGCAGAAUGUGUAGCAUUGACAGCAAUAAUGUUUAUAUAAUGACUGUCUUCUCUUUGCCCUCCUGAUUCACUCUUCACUGUUCUCCACCCUGCUUUCUGCCCCAGAAUACUAAACUUUAUGGACCAAAUAGACAGAUUCACU